ensembl:antisense Gm27199 predicted gene 27199
ACAGCGUUGCGGUCAGGGCAGAGCAAAAAAAACAAGACAUCAGUAUUGCCGAGUAUUUGCUAGUACCUGUUCCCAAGCUAAGAUCUCUCAUUGAAGUUGGAGCUCACUGAUUCCACUAGACUGUCUGGUCAGCAAGCAAUCACCAGGAAUCACCUGUAACUGUAUCUGCCUGCCGUGACACUCACUGCCGCCUUGAAUUAUCUAUCUAUCUAUCUAUCUAUCUAUCUAUCUAUCUAUCUAUCUAUCUAUCUAUCUAUCUAUCUUUUUAUUUUCACACGAGCAGUUGGGAAUAUAACUCAUAUCCUCAUGCCCACGCAUCAAGCAUGUUCCUAACUGAGCCAUCUCCCCAGCUCUUGGAGUUUCUGAGUUUGUUCGGAAGCCUUCUCCCUCCUCCAGAAAGAGGAGUGGAACAGGCACACGUGAAUUCACUCUGUUGAGCCUGGAAGAGGUGAAAGAGAAAGGCUGCCUGUUUUCUAGAUGUUCCUCAUGAGCUAUGCGUGUACCACGAAGGCUUGCUUGGACCCAGAGCUAGGGCUGACCUAACUGAGAUGCUACCCAGGGGUUUCUGGCUCACUGUGGCCACCGUGGCUCCACAGACCACCCACUUAUAACAAAAUAAAACACUUUCUACAA